GCUGAGCCUAUGCCCAAGAAGGCCCCGCACAAGACAGCAGAGUUCCCGCACAGCAUGGCAGGGUGGCGGCAGACAGCUUCCAAGGAGAGAGAGCAGCCCAAGUGCAGGCAGAAACAAAGAAGACCCAGCCACAAACACACAGGUCAGGGAUCAAAGACCAGCCCCACAUCUGGGCACCACGCAAGGCCCACGGAAUCCAGCUUUCCAGGGCCCCUGGGUCCCACAGACUCGCCUCAGCUGGAGCCGGCUUCACGCUCAAAGCUGCCAGCAGCUCUGCACACAGGACGGCUACACAGCAGGACCUUGGUGGCCACCAUAAGAAUCGUGCUGAUCCUUGCACUCAAGCAGCCCUGGGAGUUUUGGAUGCAUCUGCCAAGGGCUUCCUGAGUCACCUUAUACCUCCUCUUCUGACCACUCUUCUAGCAAACUGUGGGUUCCCCUGAGCAAGGGAAGCAGAAGUAUAGCCACAAACAGGAUCACUUUCAACACAUCCGGAAAUGGGAGAGUCUUCAUCCAAGGCAAGUGUUUCAUGGCUGCUGAGGUAGGAAUUUCGAGGACUGGGCCCUGGGCAAGAAGGAAUUUGGAAUUCUCCUCCUGUUCCACCGGGGAGUAUCUGGGAAGUUCACUGGAGC
rnacentral:lncRNA from 1 species